CCAAUACUAGUAUUAAGAUAAACAAAAAUAUCAGAAAUAUAUUUAUACUUAUUAAUUAUUAUUGCUUUUCUUAUUAUUACUUCCUUCAAUGUCCUGGCACUUUGACAUCUAGUGCUUUUCCGUCUAGCAGCCAAAAUUGUGGUCUUUCUGAAUGUGUAUGCCUUAAGUCUUCAUUGGUGUACCUAGCUCUUUAACAUAAAAAUCUGCAUCUCUCUCCCUUCUCACCCAGUUAUCCCCGUACAUCCUUUCAGUAUCCAAAGAAUUUUUUCUGUAUUUUACCGUGUGGACAUACUCUUUCCUUCCAUGUUCCACUGUCGUAUGUUAUUCCACAUCUAACACAACCACAUCCCAACAGAUCCGAACACGUCCGAUAUCAUCCAAGAGAAUGUGGCAGCUGAAGGAGAGAGUUCAAGAAAGAGGCCAAGGGUGAAGACAUUUAGCCACCCCCCCUGAAGUACAUGGCAGCAUUCAACCCUCUUGGCGAGCUGCAGGAAUGUGCUUCCCAUUGCAGUGCACCAGCUCCAUGUAUUGAUUUUGGGUGUGAACUUGAUGGGGUUGGAGGAAACUCGACUCGGCCAUCAAGCUCACCACAAUUAAUAUAACAUGAAAAGUGAAAAUUGCUGCACACAACAGUCUGCCGUCUGCACCGGGAGGCAAGGCAGCUCAAAGCCCAGGCUGUUACAACUCCUGGGCAGUUUUUGCCCAGAGCCAGCAAUUUUUUAGAUCCAAUAGGGAUGGAUUUUUUCUGAGGUCAGGUUCAACAUGCUGCAAGAUACCAAGAUCUAAGCCCAGUAGAAGAUAUGGGUUACAAGAGAGGAGGUUUGCUCUGGCCUUAUACUAUCAAAGUCCAAAUGCUAAUAGAUUUCUGAGCACAGUAUUUCACUUGCCUUCAGUUUCAACACUUCACUCAUGACUCAGGGGUAUUUCAGUAAAUGUUGGCUGGAGCAAACAGACUCUGACAGCCCUGCAGCAAAGAGCACAGGCUUUGUCAAAAGAAGAGAAACUUCGUGGGAUUUGCCAUUAUUUAGUAUUACUCUUGUUACGCCAAGAAUUUUUUUCCAUAUACUUUGCCAAAUAUUGCAAGUAAUGCACCAUUGUUGGGCUUGCCUGUUAUAAAUCAGAUCUUGUUCAAUUAACAAGCUUUGGGUGUCUGCCACUUUCCAGUUGUAAUGCAAGGAAUCAUUUAUCUUCCCUGCCAGAUAUCACAUGUAAUGCACCAUUGUUGGUUUUGCCUGUUAUAAAUCAGAUCUUGUUCAGUUAACAAGCUUUAGGUGUCUGCCACUUUCCAAUUCUAAUGCAAGGAAUCCCCUGCCAGAUAUCGCAUGUAAUGCACCAUUGUUGGUUUUGCCUGUUAUAAAUCAGAUCUUGUUCAGUUAACAAGCUUUAGGUGUCUGCCACUUUCCAAUUGUAAUGCAAGGAAUCCCCUGCCAGAUAUCGCAUGUAAUGCACCAUUGUUGGUUUUGCCUAUUAUAAAUCAGAUGGCUUUGAAUAUCUGCCAUUGUUUAUUUCAGGUGUAAUGCUUGGAAGCAUUUGUUCUCUCCCCUACCCAACAGUAUGCAAUGCUUUAUUGUGGAUUUUGCCUGUUAUAUUUAAUCUUGUUCAGGUAACAACCUUUUGGUGUCUGCCUUACCUAAUAAUGUGCUGCAGUGACACUUGUCUUGGUUUCAUAAUGUGAAAUACAGCAUGUAAUUUCAUCACACUAAGUGUCUAUCAUCACGUGUCUGGCAUCAUUAAUGUGGCUUCCAGGAGUAAUCUUGUUUGUAUUACAGCUUGCAAAUUUUUUUCUGCUUUAUAUGAUAUACAUAAUCACAUAGGUAUGAUUUACAAAAUGUAAUGGCAGUUGAUAUUCUUGACUAAUGCCUCAUAAACCUUGUGAAAAAUAAUGCUUUUUUGAAGGGGGUGGGGACAGAGAGUGGUUUGUUUGGUUGGCCAGUUCAAGGAGUUUCAUAUCAAAUGAUUUUAUUACAUCCAACUUUAAUGUGUGCUAAAAACAUAUAUUUUAUUACAUCCAACUUUAAUGUGUGCUUCCUGCAAUAAAUGCUACAUGUUUACUGAUGUAGCCUAUGAAAUACAUAUCACUCUCUGCCCUGUAAUUUGGUGUGUCACAUACUGCAGCAUAACUUUCCUGCUAUUUUCUUACACUAUGAGUUGCCUUAUUUUGUCUCAUUUGCUUUUAUCAUAUGUGCCUCCGCUGCAUAGUUGUGCCUGCUGAGCUUAAUAUCUUCAUGACCCUGACACCAAGGUCAGAGCUUGUGAGAUCAUACCGUGUCCUACAUUCCAUUUUCACCUCCAGGCUCGCCUGUCUCCCAGGACCACCAAGUUAUUGCAUUCCAUUUAAGACAACUCAUGUGUUACCUUCUUGAUGUCCUCCAUCAUGUAUUUCAGCAUGUUUUAUGAUGCUUUGCUCUUAUAUUGAUGUGCCUUGCAACAUUUUUAUACAGUUUUUAUUGUAUAUAACGCACCAUUGUUGGUUUUGCCUGUUAUAAAUUGGGUCAUGUUCAGUUAACAAGCUUUGAGUGUCUCCCAUUGUUUAUUUCAGUUGUAAUGCUUAGAAGCUUUUGUUCUCUGCCCUGUCAAGCAGUAUGCAAUGCUUGCCAUUAUCUGGCACUUGUACAGUUAGUAUGAUAUUUUUACUCAGCUAAGAGCAUUUUGCAAAAGGUAAAGGUAAGGCUGGGGGCAUACGCUGUAGCAGCACGUGGCCUCGGUGCUCAUCUCUGUAACAUUAGCCCAUGAGCCUGUGGUGUUAGGGAACCCAUUACCCUGGGACACAGGACCAGUGUGACAUCCGGGUUACCACAGUUGCAAAGGCAUUAUAGUAAUUUAGCAUGCAUAGAAUGUUGUAUGCUUUGCUUGUAUUUAAAGCACUGGAUAUGUUUGCUACACACACACACACA